AGUGAACGCUGGCGGUAGGCCUAACACAUGCAAGUCGAACGGCAGCACAGUAAGAGCUUGCUCUUACGGGUGGCGAGUGGCGGACAGGUGAGGAAUACAUCGGACUCUACUUUUUCGUGGGGGAUAACGUAGGGAAACUUACGCUCAUACCGCAUACGACCUACGGGUGAAAGGAGGGGAUCUUCGGACCUUGCGCGAUUGAAUGAGCCGAUGUCGGAUUAGCUAGUUGGCGGGUUAAAGGCCCACCAAGGCGACGAUCCGUAGCUGGUCUGAGAGGAUGAUCAGCCGCACUGGAACUGAGACACGGUCCAGACUCCUACGGGAGGCAGCAGUGGGGAAUAUUGGACAAUAGGCGCAAGCCUUAUCCAGCCAUACCGCGUGGGUGAAGAAGGCGUUCGGGUUGUAAAGCCCUUUUGUUGGUAGAGAAAAGCAGCAGGUUAAUACCCCGCUGGUCUGACGGUACCCAAAGAAUAAGCACCGGCUAACUUCGUG
rnacentral:rRNA from 1 species